rnacentral:rRNA from 1 species
UGCGUAGGCGGACUAAUAAGUCAGUGGUGAAAUCCUGCGGCUCAACCGUAGAACUGCCAUUGAUACUGAUAUUCUUGAAUGUAGUUGAGGUAGGCGGAAUGUGUAAUGUAGCGGUGAAAUGCUUAGAUAUUACACAGAACACCGAUUGCGAAGGCAGCUUACUAAACUAUGAUUGACGCUGAGGCACGAAAGCGUGGGGAGCGAACAGGAUUAGAUACCCUGGUAGUCC